ACAUUGAUCAUCAAUUUACCUUGUUUGUUAAAGAUUCUCCAAUAUAGCACAAUAUAAAUAUAUUAAAGGUCAUAGAAGUCAGUAGUAUGCUAUAUGUAAAUACACCAAUCCUAUUAUUUUCUUCCCAAUCCUGCGUAAAAAUGACGAAGAAUAAAUUUUAAUUAAAAUAUUUAUAUUGUGACUACUUGUGUCCUAUUUUCUACGUGAACUAUGUGAUUUACGAGAUCUUCUAAAGCAGUGACAAAUCUGUAAAGCGUCGCGUAUGGAUAUUUUUUAUUUUUAAUUUUUUAACAGAAAAAUGAAUCGAAAUUAUUACCGUAUUACAUGUAAAUGAUGUUUCACAAUGGUAGCUAAUCGUUGACCGGCACAAGUUCUUGUAUCAUUGUAUUUUUGUCCGUCAACAAGAUCAUCUAUCAACGACGCUAUAAUUUCGAUUUGUCCGCAAAUAUGCAUCGCGAAGAUCGCUGCUAGGCUACAAGCACCGGUCGUUACCGAAUAUAUCACGUAUCCGCACAAACAAUGAGCGAGAUAAACGAAUUCAUAAAUGGGACUCUUCUGUACGUCGUAAAGGACACUGUAGCUCGGAUAAACCAACGGCUUCAAUGUACGAUUCGAUACAUCCAUAAUACGUGGACCAGAAAAAGAGAGUCUACGGAAUUGAAAAAAUCUGACGAAUGAUGCAUCCUCGUGGCAGGAAGUUCUGCGCUAAACUAAUUUCGAAUUGAUCUUAAACUGAUACAGGUAAACAACGAACGAUUGAUUAUUCUUUCGUUAUUUUCUGCGCUUGCGCCUGUAUACGCUACGUAUAUAUGCGCAGUCUACGUAUCCUUUGUCUUUCAGAUAAUCACUAGACCAAUCUUUAAUCUCAUAGAUAUCGGAUACGACUUUUCAAUGAGUUUCUUAAUCAAUAGUUAUGCGUGAAG